UGCAGUCAAGGAGAACGUUUUCUUCGGAAAAUUAUUAAACUGGCGAACGGGUGAGUAACACGUAGGUAACCUGCCUUGAAGAUUGGGAUAACUCCGGGAAACCGGAGCUAAUACCGAAUAAUGCAACGAAUCCUUUGGGAUAUGUUGUUAAAGCGGGCUUCGGCUCGCACUUCGAGAUGGGCCUGCGACCGAUUAGCUUGUUGGUGAGGUAAUGGCUCACCAAGGCAAUGAUCGGUAGCUGGUCUGAGAGGAUGAUCAGCCACACUGGGAUUGAGAUACGGCCCAGACUCCUACGGGAGGCAGCAGUGGGGAAUUUUGCGCAAUGGACGAAAGUCUGACGCAGCAACGCCGCGUGAUUGAUGAAGCUUUUAGGAGUGUAAAGAUCUGUCGUGAGGGAAGAAAAAUCUGGAUGUAAAUAAUGUUCAGACGUGACGGUACCUCACAAGAAAGCACCGGCUAACUUCGUGCCAGCAGCCGCGGUAAUACGAGGGGUGCUAGCGUUGUCCGGAAUUACUGGGCGUAAAGGGUCCGUAGGCGUCUUGACAAGUUGAUCGUUAAAUCCACCGGCUCAACCGGUGAUCUGCGGUCAAAACUGGCAGGAUAGAAUAUGUGAGAGGAAAGUAGAAUUCCUGGUGUAGCGGUGACAUGCGUAGAUAUCAGGAGGAACACCAAUGGCGAAGGCAGCUUUCUGGCACAAUAUUGACGCUGAGGGACGAAAGCGUGGGGAGCGAACAGGAUUA
rnacentral:rRNA from 1 species